CCCUGUAUGAAAUAAACACCCUUA
rnacentral:piRNA from 1 species